rnacentral:lncRNA from 1 species
UGUCAGACACCAGAGGGAGAGAGAAAACAGCCAAUACAAAAGGGAAUGAUCCCUGGCUCAAGAUGAGAAGGAAGGAGAGCUCUCUAUGUUCGUAGUCCAGCCAUAUAGGAUGCUUGGCCAAAAUGAAGGUAUAGAAAAGGAACAACCAAAGAAAGAACAGGGACAUACUGGAUCUUUCUGGGUAUCAUCAAACUUCUCCAUCCAAGAAUAAGGGACAGCAGCAUCUCUUUGACAUCCAUAGCCCAUUUCUGCUUUGCCAAUAUCACUUGUGCAUCUGGGGCCACCAAUGCAUCCUAUCCUAGCAAGUAUCAAUGGGAAUAAAGAAGAAACUUAGAAAACGACAAAAUUCAAGAAGAGCUGAAGCUCUGGAGCUAGCUUUGGUGGAGAAAGAAUGAUGCGGGAUGUUGGACUAAGCGAGAAAUGCAUAAGAAGGCUGGAAACCAGAAAGCAAGGAGACCCACUAACAUGGCCUACUCUGGUCGGCCUCUGGGCACAAAGGAGGGUGAAGAAAGGAUGGGAGCAGACAUGGAGGCACCAAUGGAAAGUACCAGAACACUUAAAAAAUUGAACUUUUAUGUUAUUACUCAAUGUUACUUUUAUAUUAUUAAUCAGUAUUUACUGAGCCCAACCCCUAUGAUAGUUCUACAAUGUAUUACUCUUAAAAUCUAAGCUAGACCUGAAAUCCUAUAUUCUGUUUUAAGCUAUUACCUCUCAAUAGGAAAAGAGAGGUGUUGAGUGUCACCUUAAUCCUUCCUGAGAUAAACAUUCAAAUCAAUCUCUCUACAGAUUGC